GCAGUCGUGGCCGAGUGGUUAAGGCGAUGGACCAGAAAUCCAUUGGGGUCUCCCCGCACAGGUUCGAACCCUGUCGACUCCG
rnacentral:tRNA from 1 species